rnacentral:rRNA from 1 species
GUGUCAGCCGCCGCGGUAAGACGAACUGUCCUAACGUUGUUCGGAAUCACUGGGCUUAAAGGGCGCGUAGGCGGUCCGACAAGUCAGGGGUGAAAUCUUGCAGCUCAACUGUAAAAGUGCCUUUGAUACUGUCGGUCUUGAGGGAAAUAGGGGUGUGCGGAACUUCCAGUGGAGCGGUGAAAUGCGUUGAUAUUGGAAGGAACGCCGGAGGCGAAAGCGGCGCACUGGAUUUCUUCUGACGCUGAGGCGCGAAAGCUAGGGGAGCAAACGGGAUUAGAAACCCUGGUAGUCC